AGCGAACGCUGGCGGCAGGCCUAACACAUGCAAGUCGAGCGGAUGUAGCAAUACAUCAGCGGCAGACGGGAGAGUAACACGUGGGAACGUACCCUUUGGUUCGGAACAACACAGGGAAACUUGUGCUAAUACCGGAUAAGCCCUAACGGGGAAAGAUUUAUCGCCAUUGGAUCGGCCCGCGUCUGAUUAGCUAGUUGGUGGGGUAACGGCCCACCAAGGCGACGAUCAGUAGCUGGUCUGAGAGGAUGAUCAGCCUCACUGGGACUGAGACACGGCCCAGACUCCUACGGGAGGCAGCAGUGGGGAAUAUUAGACAAUGGGCGCAACCCUGAUCCAGCCAUGCCGCGUGAGUGAUGAAGGCCCUAGGGUUGUAAAGCUCUUUCAGCUGGGAAGAUAAUGACGGUACCAGCAGAAGAAGCCCCGGCUAACUCCGUGCCAGCCGCCGCCGUAACAC
rnacentral:rRNA from 1 species